GCGACCCCAGGUCAGGCGGGGCUACCCGCUGAGUUUAAGCAUAUCAAUAAGCGGGAGA
rnacentral:rRNA from 2 species